rnacentral:rRNA from 1 species
GCCAGACUCCUACGGGAGGCAGCAGUGGGGAAUAUUGCACAAUGGGGGAAACCCUGAUGCAGCGACGCCGCGUGAGUGAAGAAGUAUUUCGGUAUGUAAAGCUCUAUCAGCAGGGAAGAAAAUGACGGUACCUGAUUAAGAAGCCCCGGCUAACUACGUGCCAGCAGCCGCGGUAAUACGUAGGGGGCAAGCGUUGUCCGGAUUUACUGGGUGUAAAGGGCGUGCAGCCGGAGAGACAAGUCAGAUGUGAAAGCCACGGGCUCAACCCGUGAACUGCAUUUGAAACUGUUUCCCUUGAGUGUCGGAGAGGGAAUCGGAAUUCCUUGUGUAGCGGUGAAAUGCGUAGAUAUAAGGAAGAACACCAGUGGCGAAGGCGGAUUACUGGACGAUAACUGACGGUGAGGCGCGAAAGCGUGGGGAGCAAACAGGAUUAGAUACCCCAGUAAAC